UUCGUCGCCUGAAGAGUGGUGUCGUCCGGAGUAUUUUCCCUUGGAAAAACUUUACUGCUCCUUUGAGAAGGGAGUCAGUAUAUGACAGAACCUCAAACGUCAGUCUAUGCAGCUAUGCUGUGAAGAUACUAGCAUACGGUGGCUAAGCUAAGGCAGUAAAGAUGGAUCAGGACUACGUGACACACCCACCUGCAGGCUUUGGAUUACAUCCAUGACUUAGAAGCCAAGUUCCUUUGCUGGACCCAGGAGACGAUGUCAUGGCGGACAAAAGUUCCUCGUUCAAGACCUCCUUACUGACAUUGGAUCUAAGAUCAUCAUUCCACCUUUUAAGCUUUCAGCUCAAUUCAGCAAGGAGGAAAAUGAACAAAUCCAAGCCAUCACCCGCCUCAGAAUUAUGGUGGAAAGAGUGAUCGGUAGGAUAAAGUCCUUCCACAU